rnacentral:lncRNA from 10 species
CUUGACUCCUUUCUGCUUAAUAAUUUGAAAAUCAAAACUUAAUUGGUCAUAUCAUCAAAAAUAUUAUGUUAAGUGACAUAAGCCAGGCAAAAAGACAAACACGAAGAAUUUUUAAAAGUCCAUUUCAUAGAAAUAGCAGAAUCGUGGUUAUCAUGGGCUAGGCAGGGGAAGGGAGCAGGGCCAAUGAAGAGAGGUUGCUCAACAGGUACAUAAUUACAGUUAGUAGAAGGAAUAAGUUCUAGUGUUCUAUAUAUUUUAAUUUUAUUUUUUUAUUUUUUUUGAGACAGGGUCUUGCUCUGCCACCCAGGCUGGAGUGCAGUGGCACAAUUAUAGCCCACUGCAGCCUUGGCUUCCUGAGCUCAAGAGAUCCUCCCACCUUAGCCUCCCAAGUAACUGGGACUACAGUUUCAGGUAUGUCUUUAUCAGCAGUAUGAAAAUGGACUGAUACACAUGCCAUACCUAUAUUUCUGACUUACAAAAGCAUGAGCUAAUAAACAUGUGCUGUUUUAAACUGCUACGUUCAUGCUUCCUCUCAGUAUCUGAUGACAAUGAGAAAUGCAUUUGAAGAGAUAAACACUUCCCGAAAGACCAUCAUGAUAGGAGCUGAUACUCACAGAUGCCUUAGUGAAUGAUUACGUCUCAGGAUGCCAUAAGGAAUACACAGAAGGGUACAAUCUCAAGCCUGGCAUGGCAGAUGGGCUUGGCCAUGAAAACUCCUUACCAGAGAACAUGAGUCCGUGGCUCUAAAAACAACUACAACCCAAGUACAGACACAAAGAGCCUAGUAUGAAGUCAGUUGCACAGACGCAGCCCUGGUAUACAGUGGACUCACAGCCUCUUGUUUCUAAUAAUUUCCCAGAACACCCGUGUGGCGAUGUGGAUGAAGUGGACAAGAAAAGCUCCUGUGUUUUUAUCCACGACCCUCCUGCUUGGAACAACUGAACCCCAAAUCAAAAUAAUUUCACUCCACAUCCUAAUUAUAUCAGUUGUCAACAUCUCUAGCAUCAAAAAUAUCCCGUUUAUUCCAGUUCAGUAUGUCAAGCACAAGAAAAUAUAAUCACAAGUGGGAGCGAAAAGAAACAUGAUGUGAAUCGAGAGAGCUGUUUUGCAUGAGGCAAAACUGCACUGUAGUUUGCAUUCGAAUCUAUUUCAGCAUUUGAAGAUAUGCAAUUCUUCUCCUACAAGGGUAUUAUAAUUGAUUGUGUGAUUUGUAUAAAUAAAUGAGGCUUAAAAGAAAACCACAUGACUUAAAGUUCUUUCACUAGUAAGAAUAUGUGUAAUUUGUUCUCCAGUUGGAGACUUAGAAUACUGCUGGAAAAACCUAAAUUUGUUUAAUGUUCUGCCUCUUUCCUCAUUGGCUGCCUAAUGUUUUUAAUCUAUUCAGUUCAGACCAUUUCUGAUUGAUGGG